rnacentral:lncRNA from 1 species
UGCAUAGGAAUUUGGUUCAGUUGUUGUGGAAAAUGUGGAUAGAUAGGCUUGGUAUUUUGUGAGAUGUUUUCAUAAGAUAGGUAGUUUGAUAUAGGAUAGUUAACAUCUUGAUGCACAAUUAAUGAGACAAAAUCUUUCAACCAUAUUGGAGGAUGUUUUUCUCUGUUGGAUCUUUGAUAUUUUGUUGUAGGUUCUGUGAUUGUUUUCUGAAGUUGUUGAUUGAUUUUGUGGAUAAGUUGUUGAUAUAAAAUAUGUGAUAUCUUGAGGGUUAGUGAUAGGAUUUUCCCUUGUAAUGUUAUCUAUGUAGCCUGCUUCAUAGUCUUCAUUGACUGCAGUCGUAGGUUGAUAGAAGUCUU